rnacentral:rRNA from 1 species
CGUUUAGUGGCGAACGGGUGAGUAAUACAUAGGUAACCUACCCUUAAGACGAGGAUAGCCAUUGGAAACGAUGGAUAAAACUGGGUAGGAUAUAGAGGAAGAAUCUUUUAUAUUUAAAAGAGAGAUCUGCUUAAGGAGGGGCCUGUGGCGCAUUAGCUAGUUGGUGGGGUAAGGGCCUACCAAGGCGAUGAUGCGUAGCCGGACUGAGAGGUUGAACGGCCACAAUGGAACUGAGAACGGUCCAUACUCCUACGGGAGGCAGCAG